rnacentral:rRNA from 1 species
AACGAACGCUGGCGGCAGGCUUAACACAUGCAAGUCGAGCGCCCAGCAAUGGGAGCGGCGCACGGGUGAGUAACACGUGGGAACGUGCCCUAUGGUUCGGAAUAACGCAGGGAAACUUGCGCUAAUACCGGAUAAGCCCUUACGGGGAAAGGUUUAUCGCCAUUGGAGCGGCCCGCGUUGGAUUAGCUAGUUGGUGGGGUAAAAGCCUACCAAGGCAACGAUCCAUAGCUGGUUUGAGAGAACGACCAGCCACACUGGGACUGAGACACGGCCCAGACUCCUACGGGAGGCAGCAGUGGGGAAUCUUGGACAAUGGGGAACCCUGAUCCAGCCAUGCCGCGUGGUGAUGAAGGCCCUAGGGUUGUAAACUCUUUCGGCGGGGACGAUAAUGACGGUACCCGCAGAAGAAGCUCGGCUAACUUCGUGCCAGCAGCCGCCGU